rnacentral:rRNA from 1 species
GACGAACGCUGGCGGCGUGCCUAAUACAUGCAAGUCGAACGCAGUGGGGACGGGUGAGUAACACGUGGGUAACCUCCCAUCAGAGGGGAUAACACUUGGAAACAGGUGCUAAACCGAUACUGAAGGAUGGACCCGCGGUGCAUUAGCUAGUUGGUGAGGUAACGGCUUACCUAGGCGAAGAUCCCUAGCUGUUCUGUGCGGAGUUUCGUCCACACUGGGACUGAGACCCGGCCCAGACUCCUACGGGCGGCACGAGUGGGGAAUAUUGCACAAUGGGCGCAAGCCUGAUGCAGCCAUGCCGCGUGUAUGAAGAAGGCCUUCGGGUUGUAAAGUACUUUCAGUCGGGAGGCGUUACCGACAGAAGAAGCACCGGCUAACUCCGUGCCAGCAGCCGCGGUAAUAC